GCCUUUUGCAUAAUGAGCCUGCGAGUUGUGGUGUCUGGCAAGGUUAAGCAAACGCGAAGCCGUAGCGAAAGCGAGUCUGAAUAGGGCGCUUAGUCAGAUGCUGCAGACCCGAAACGAAGUGAUCUAUCCAUGAGCAAGUUGAAGCUAGUGUAAGAACUAGUGGAGGACUGAACCCAUAGGCGUUGAAAAGCCCCGGGAUGACUUGUGGAUAGGGGUGAAAGGCCAAUCAAACUUCGUGAUAGCUGGUUCUCUCCGAAAUAUAUUUAGGUAUAGCGUUGUGUCGUAAUAUAAGGGGGUAGAGCACUGAAUGGGCUAGGGCAUACACCAAUGUACCAAACCCUAUCAAACUCCGAAUACCUUAUAUGUAAUCACAGCAGUCAGGCGGCGAGUGAUAAAAUCCGUCGUCAAGAGGGAAACAACCCAGACUACCAGCUAAGGUCCCUAAAUCUUACUUAAGUGGAAAACGAUGUGAAGUUACUUAAACAACCAGGAGGUUGGCUUAGAAGCAGCCAUCCUUUAAAGAAAGCGUAAUAGCUCACUGGUCUAGUGAUUUUGCGCGGAAAAUAUAACGGGGCUAAAGUAAGUACCGAAGCUGUAGACUUGCGCACAACUUAGAUUAUUUAAGUUUAGAAUAUGAGAAACUAAGUUAUAUGUUUAGUUAUAUUUUUACUGAUUUUUAUAGAGUAAAGAUAGAAAUAAAACUUAGUAAAAUCAGUAAAAAUAUUCUUAGAUUAAAGUUAAGUAGUUUAAGUUGUGUGCAAGUGGUAGGAGAGCGUUCUAUUUGCGUCGAAGGUAUACCGGUAAGGAGUGCUGGAGCGAAUAGAAGUGAGCAUGCAGGCAUGAGUAGCGAUAAUUAAUGUGAGAAUCAUUAACGCCGUAAACCCAAGGUUUCCUACGCGAUGCUCGUCAUCGUAGGGUUAGUCGGGUCCUAAGUCGAGUCCGAAAGGGGUAGACGAUGGCAAAUUGGUUAAUAUUCCAAUACCAACAUUAGUGUGCGAUGGAAGGACGCUUAGGGCUAAGGGGGCUAGCGGAUGGAAGUGCUAGUCUAAGGUCGUAGGAGGUUAUACAGGCAAAUCCGUAUAACAAUACUCCGAGAACUGAAAGGCUUUUUGAAGUCUUCGGAUGGAUAGAAGAACCCCUGAUGCCGUCGAGCCAAGAAAAGUUUCUAAGUUUAGCUAAUGUUGCCCGUACCGUAAACCGACACAGGUGGGUGGGAUGAGUAUUCUAAGGCGCGUGGAAGAACUCUCUUUAAGGAACUCUGCAAAAUAGCACCGUAUCUUCGGUAUAAGGUGUGGUUAGCUUUGUAUUAGGAUUUACUCCGAAAGCAAGGAAACUUACAACAAAGAGUCCCUCCCGACUGUUUACCAAAAACACAGCACUCUGCUAACUCGUAAGAGGAUGUAUAGGGUGUGACGCCUGCCCGGUGCUCGAAGGUUAAUUGAUGGGGUUAGCAUUAGCGAAGCUCUUGAUCGAAGCCCGAGUAAACGGCGGCCGUAACUAUAACGGUCCUAAGGUAGCGAAAUUCCUUGUCGGUUAAAUACCGACCUGCAUGAAUGGCGUAACGAGAUGGGAGCUGUCUCAAAGAGGGAUCCAGUGAAAUUGUAGUGGAGGUGAAAAUUCCUCCUACCCGCGGCAAGACGGAAAGACCCCGUGGACCUUUACUACAGCUUGACACUGCUAUUUGGAUAAGAAUGUGCAGGAUAGGUGGGAGGCUUUGAGUAUAUGACGCCAGUUGUAUAUGAGCCAUUGUUGAGAUACCACUCUUUCUUAUUUGGGUAGCUAACCAGCUUGAGUUAUCCUCAAGUGGGACAAUGUCUGGUGGGUAGUUUGACUGGGGCGGUCGCCUCCCAAAUAAUAACGGAGGCUUACAAAGGUUGGCUCAGAACGGUUGGAAAUCGUUCGUAGAGUAUAAAGGUAUAAGCCAGCUUAACUGCAAGACAUACAAGUCAAGCAGAGACGAAAGUCGGUCUUAGUGAUCCGGUGGUUCUGUGUGGAAGGGCCAUCGCUCAAAGGAUAAAAGGUACCCCGGGGAUAACAGGCUGAUCUCCCCCAAGAGCUCACAUCGACGGGGAGGUUUGGCACCUCGAUGUCGGCUCAUCGCAUCCUGGGGCUGGAGCAGGUCCCAAGGGUAUGGCUGUUCGCCAUUUAAAGCGGUACGCGAGCUGGGUUCAGAACGUCGUGAGACAGUUCGGUCCCUAUCUGCCGUGGGCGUAAGAAGAUUGAAGAGAUUUGACCCUAGUACGAGAGGACCGGGUUGAACAAACCACUGGUGUAGCUGUUGUUCUGCCAAGAGCAUCGCAGCGUAGCUAAGUUUGGAAAGGAUAAACGCUGAAAGCAUCUAAGCGUGAAGCCAACUCUAAGAUGAAUCUUCUCUAAGCUCUCUAGAAGACUACUAGUUUGAUAGGCUGGGUGUGUAAUGGAUGAAAGUCCUUUAGCUGACCAGUACUAAUAGAGCGUUUGGCUUAUCUUU
rnacentral:rRNA from 1 species